CAGCUGGCGGGGCUGCUCCUUCACUUCUUCCUUAUCAUUAAGUCCAAUGCUAAGGUAAAGCUGUGGAACUGGGUAAAUAAAUAAAUAGAAAUCAAUAAAAAUUAACAAACAAACAGAAAACACCUUUUGCAUAGAAAAGCUCCCUGUAUUCAUAGGGCAGUGUUAACUCUUGACAUGGUGGAGAAAAGACAAUAAAAAGCCAGCUUAAGUGCAGGGUGGUGAAGGUGCCUGAAAGAAAAAGCCUCUUGCUCUAUGCAACUGGGUUCCUCCAACUGAGAGAGAAACUUUUAAUCUCUGCUUCCUCUUUGCCUCUAAGAAUAGACAGAAACCACAUUGUUCUGAAUUGCAUAUCUGAUGGCUGGGAUGAAUGUUCAUUUCACCCAGUAAUAUCUCUGUAGUUGGCAACAACACUCCUAACAUUGUAAAAGAAGGGAUAAGGGCCAUGACAGCCCUGAAAAAAAGGAAGAAAAAAUGCCAUAGAAAAAACUGGAUUGGAAGGAGGUCGACAUUCCCAGCCCCCGAGAGAGAUGGGGAGGUGGGGUCCAAAGGACUGUAGCUGUGCCAUUGCUCUUAACUAGCUAAUCAGAGGUCCAGUGCUUCAUCUGCCUUCAGAAAAAUGUCUGAGGACAAGAAGCCUCGGAAAUAAGUGAAGAUUUUAGGUCUGCAUUCGCUCACCCUUCAGGUAUCCCACAGGAGCCGGCAAAAUGAUGCAAGAUUUUCUUUUCGGUGACUUUGCAAGCUGGGGAUCUCCAGUUGGUGAUGCCCUGCCGAGGUCCCACUCAGCCACACUGGCAUGCCCUCACUUGCCUGUCUUAUAUCUUGUACCCACGUUCAGCAGUUCCUGAGCUCUUGUGCUAUGCCCAAGAAGGAUAAGAAUAUACUGGACAUUGAAGAGUAAGGAGAGCAGACAAUAAGAUCUCAGUGGGUUUAUAACAUUUUUGAACUUAUAUAACUGGAAUCACACAAUAUGUAUCAUUUGGUAUUGGCUUGGCUUUGCUCAGUAUAAUGUACAAAUUGAAACAAGAACGCUUAAUUUUUGAAAUUAAUACAAAAGUUUUUUGAGAGCAAGCUUAUAAAAAUGUUACCACUGUGGUUGUUCUAGGAAAAAUAGAAAGAAAACAAAACAAAACAAUAAGCAUCAAAGUUUGCUAAAAAAUCUAGAGUACUUUUUUGUACUUCAUCUAUACUUAGUAAUAAAAUUCUUUACUAUUUAGAGACUGCAAAUUUUAAUUUCAACUUGCAUCUUUGUAUUUAAAAGUGAGACAACUUGAAAAAACAUGCAUUGAAUCUGACAUAAUAAUCAUUCU
rnacentral:lncRNA from 1 species